rnacentral:rRNA from 1 species
ACAGCAGUAGCCGCGGGAAUACAGAGGAUGCAAGCGUUAUCCGGAAUGAUUGGGCGUAAAGCGCGCGCAGGCGGAUCAGUCAGUCUGUCUUAAAAGUUCGGGGCUUAACCCCGUGAUGGGAUGGAAACUGCUGAUCUAGAGUAUCGGAGAGGAAAGUGGAAUUCCCAGUGUAGCGGUGAAAUGCGUAGAUAUUAGGAAGAACACCAGUGGCGAAGGCGACUUUCUGGACGAAAACUGACGCUGAGGCGCGAAAGCCAGGGGAGCGAACGGGAUUAGAUACCCCUGUAGUCCCUGUCUCUUAUACA